GAGUUUCUGGAGGAAGUGAUUUGUACAGCUGUUCAACAGAGGAGCCACUUUUCUAUUAUAUGUGCUGGAGGCAAAAUGCUGCUUUGCAAAACUGUGAGAAUACGAAGUCUGAUAAAAAGAAUAGGGGGAAACAUUCUGCAAUAAGAAACCUGAUUGAAAAAUCCUGCUGGGCGGAAGGAGACUGAAUAGGUGGACAAAAUGAGAGCCUAUUCUGGACAAACUGAGUGAGUCAAAGGUUUUAAAUGCUGCAUGGCAUUUAAAAGGCAGCUUUUGUCAACAAAACACACUGCGAUGCAACUCUUAGCAGCAAAAAUGUCCUGCUUUGGUGACAAAAUAAAACCACCCUGACAAGAGACAUAAGACUUUUGGAGCAAAACUUUUGUCGACAAUGUGCCAGAGUAGACACCACGCUUGAUUUUAUCGCUUUAAUUGGCCUCAGAAAGGUGUCCCACAAUGCCCACCCUGACUGCUCUGGUCAGCAGUUUGAACUCCACUGCCCUGCAUCUGGGUAAACAACUCCUCCCCCUUGGAAGCCCCAGGAAUUUUUGAAAUUCCAUUUCCUGUUGACUCAGCAUGGAGAGGUUUCAUUGCAUCUUCUCAGGUGACCAUGGCAGGUUAUCACAGCAAACAUUCUCCCAUUUGGACCACUAUGGAGCUGCUGAAGUUGCUCAGUAUAUGGGAGAGGAGGCUGUGUAGUCCCAGCUGCACUUGAGCCGUAGGAAUUUUGAUAACUACGGGCAGGUUUCUCGAGACUUGUGUGAAAAGAGCUAUUACCGGGACAUGCUGCAGUGCAGAGCGAAGAUAAAGGAUCUGAGACAGGUGUACCAUAAGGCAAGGGAGCCAAGCCAUCAUGUCGGUGCUGCACCUAAGACCUGUCAGCUCUGCAAGGAGCUGGACAGUAUCCUCAGUGGUGACCCCACCACCAAGACCCCUGUGGAUACUUUGGCAGGCCUGGAGGCAGUGGAAAGAGCAUCUAACCCGGAGGACAAAGUCACUGAUGAAGAGGUGGAGUUAGAUGAUGAUGUGGAGCUCCUGAUGGGAUCACCUGGUGGGGUGGGCAGCCAGGAAUUGUUCAGGAGGUGUCUGUCCAGUCUCAGCAAUUGCUCUCUGGUGAGCAAGAAGCAGAAGAGGAGAUGCCUGAUGUGGCCUUGAGGAACACCCCAUGCACACCGUCCAAACAUCUCUGCCAGAUAAGAGAGUGCUCAAGGUGGAGCAAAGAAGACAUGUUCCAGGAGAACACAAGGAGUGGAGGGGAAGGCGAAAGGCAGGACAGAAAAGAUAAUCAGGAGUUUAAGGAUGCUACUGAGUGGAUGAUUAAAGUAAUGGAGGAGCACAAACAAAUACUGAAGUUCUUAAUGCUGCAGACUAAGCAGAUCUGUGCCUGCUCUCCCCUGCAGCACAUUUAGAACUCUUUUCUGUGCCCCUCCCCCCUCAACUCCGCCCACACGUUUCUUUCCACUUUCUGGGACUUCUCAGUGUCCCCUUUGCUCCACCCCUUUGGAAACUUUCAAAAUAACUGGACCUACGCACAGCUCUGAAAGUCUGUCCUUCCCUGGUACCUCCUUACCUACCAAGAGUCUGUGUGUUUCUUGUGCAAUAAAAGCAAAGUUUUUGAAUGGUAA